ensembl:lncRNA
CUUCGUCCGGUGGUUGAGUAAGGGAAAAAAGUGGAGGUGUGAGCGGUGGUCCGAGGUGGUCAGACGGGCAGACAUGAAGUCCAGUGGCCGAAGUGAGUGGGCAUAAGCCGGCUUAUCCAAAAGGGGAAGACGAGCCAGUGGUUGCGAGAACAGCGAGACGAAGACUGAAACCGAAAGUUAAGCGUGUCUGGGUGACCUAGACCAAGAAGGUGGAGUCGACCAACGCCAUUGGAAGAGGUUUCACCCCUUAUGAGCUGCUGACUGGGAGACAGUUUCCAGCACCCUGGACAGUGGUCCCGGUGGAGCAGCCCAGGACAAGCAACAGGUCUCAUGCAGAAUAUUUUAAUGAGUUGAAAGCUCUUGUGUCCAGCUUUACAAAACAGGUCACUUGUGAGAGACCCACGGGGAACGGAGAGGUCCCGGACGCAAAGGCAGUGUGGCUGAAGGUCAUUAAGCGAAAGUGGAAGGAGCCCCGCUGGACUGGUCCGUAUGAGGUGACCGCCC